rnacentral:lncRNA from 1 species
CUUUCAAGAUAUAUUAAUUCUCCUCAGUCUCUUUUAUCUUGCUUUAGAUAAUGUAAGGUCAUCCUUCUGCUAUGCAAGAGGGCCUGUUAGGUAUAGGUCCCUCUGCCCUCUCAGUCUUCUUGAGUCGCCUCUCCAAGUGGUAUCUUCAGUGUCAGCUGCAUUCACUCCUUUGAAAUCUGAUUUGUCCUGUUGGUCGUGGUGCCUAACUAUGGGCGGGCCCUUUAAUGUUAAUAUCCCGAUUGGUAAUCAUAUGUAUUUCAAGCAUGCAGCGUAACGGAACCUGUCUGAUUGUUGACAGCGACAAGUUUCCAUGGAUUCCAGAGCUCCUAUUGUUUGUUUGUUCUUAUACUGCAGGAUUCAUUAUCGACAGGUGUGAUUGAAGUGCUUAGAAAGCACUGCUGUCCCCAUGCUCCCUGAGUAAAAGGAAGACUUCUUCAAGGAGGCAUCUCCUGCCAUGUGACACAACGUGCCCUUAUGAAUCAUGGAACACUCUGCGCAUUACCCAAGGGCAAAAGACUGACCAACGGCUAAGCAGGCACAGUGCCAUCGUAACAGAUGGGCAUCCAUUGAGUAGCCAAGAAGCCAUGAGGAGGUAAUGCACCAAGCAGAUGUGGAGUGGCUGUGUGCUCUCACUCAUUUCUCUUGGUCAGAUAGACAGAAAGAGCAUCUGCACUGGCCCGAAGCAGACCCCUGACAUCAUAAGACAUCUGUAUUCCACCAGUUUUAACAUGAUAUGCUUCGAGAGCCAGAGUGGCUCUGGAAAGGAAUGCACCUGGCACCGGCCACGGAGCAGAGCAGGGGGAAAAGCAGCCGUGGAACUAACUAGCUUUGCUCAAGAGCCAGCUCAGACUGGUUUGUGGCAAAUCUGCCUUUCCAAAAUUACUAAUUGUGAGCUGUCCAAGGCCUGUCAGUAACCACAACAUUUUGGCACACUGAAAUAAAAAGUCAUGAUUAAGUAACUACUAACCUUCU